rnacentral:rRNA from 1 species
UACACGAGCGGCGAACGGGUGAGUAACACGUGGGUGAUCUGCCCUGCACUCUGGGAUAAGCUUGGGAAACUGGGUCUAAUACCGGAUAUGACCACAUGCCGCAUGGGGUGUGGUGGAAAGAUUUAUCGGUGCAGGAUGGGCCCGCGGCCUAUCAGCUUGUUGGUGGGGUAAUGGCCUACCAAGGCGACGACGGGUAGCCGACCUGAGAGGGUGACCGGCCACACUGGGACUGAGACACGGCCCAGACUCCUACGGGAGGCAGCAGUGGGGAAUAUUGCACAAUGGGCGGAAGCCUGAUGCAGCGACGCCGCGUGAGGGAUGAAGGCCUUCGGGUUGUAAACCUCUUUCAGCAGGGACGAAGCGUGAGUGACGGUACCUGCAGAAGAAGCACCGGCUAACUACGUGCCAGCAGCCGCGGUAAUACGUAGGGUGCGAGCGUUGUCCGGAAUUACUGGGCGUAAAGAGUUCGUAGGCGGUUUGUCGCGUCGUUUGUGAAAACCCGGGGCUCAACUUCGGGCUUGCAGGCGAUACGGGCAGACUUGAGUGUUUCAGGGGAGACUGGAAUUCCUGGUGUAGCGGUGAAAUGCGCAGAUAUCAGGAGGAACACCGGUGGCGAAGGCGGGUCUCUGGGAAACAACUGACGCUGA